rnacentral:lncRNA from 1 species
GCCCACAUCGGCCUCCCAAAGUGCUGGGAUUACAGGCGUGAGCCACCACACCCGGCCUCCUAACUGAUGUUUCAGUUUGGAUCUGAAGAACGGGAAUUUUCAUAAUUUCUUUUUCAAGGUUUUUGAGAAUUAGUUUGUUGCCAUUUCCGAACUUCCAUCCCAUUGUGAUGUGCAUAACCAGUCGGCUUCCUUAGCCUCAUCCUCCACCCAGGGAAGCUCCGACCACGCCAGCACCAGGAAGGCCAGCCGGGGAGCAGCCUGGCCCAGGGGUCAGGAGCCGGGGCCUGUGUGACUGGGGCCUGUGUGGCUGGCACCUGGUGGAUGUGAGCCCCAGGACAGGGAGUUUCUGUGCCCAUGAGAUGGAAGCAGCUCACUUCUUGGCCCCUUUCAAGAAUCUGGGAAGAGCUCCAGGAGUCAGAGGUCUGGGUGCCAGUCCCAGCUCUGCUCCAAACUGGCCGUGUGACCUCAGCGAAGUUAUUUCCCAGUUUUGUUUUCUUCUUUUACAAAAUGACAGGGUGAGAGUCGUGAUUGGUUUUCUUAGUGUCAGAAGUGCUGAACUCUGUUAGAAAGCGUCUCAGGUUGUUUUGUUUGACAGUGACUACCCACUUUGCAGAGACCUGGGCUGCCCGCUCUCUGGGGAAUACUGGAGGUUAUGCCCCAUCUCCUGUCCUGUGGGAGAACCCACCCUCCGAACGAGGCUCUGGUGAGGUUUUCACAAUCAGUAACAAGGCCGAUCUCCAUCAAUGGAAGUCUCCCCGUUUGAGAUGGGGUGUGUGCUCCUUACCCAGGCUCCUGAACAAAACCCACCUCCUUGUCUUGGCACCACUGAGAGUGCACACCGAGGGGGCUCCAGCACCAGAUUGUGGGAACAGUCACGAGAAAGCAGCUCAGACUUCACACCCAGAGCCCUUGAUCCCUACACACCCAGUAUUCCUUCACAGCGCUCUUCCUGCUUCCUGGACACGUGGAACUGCUUCUCCAUCGGGGAGGAUCCAUCCAGAGCCCUUUGGGUGGGUGCUCAGGGCAAUAGCUGCUGCCUCUUCCUUCUGCUCAGUGCUGGGAGGCGUUACACUUUCCCCAUAUGGCACGGAGCAGAACGUGCACCUUUGGCUCUGGAAGGAAUGAACAUCCUACCCGUUAGUUAGCCCUGGGAGUCACUGACUCGGUUCUUCCCUGGACACCAAUGUCCUAUGGAGCACACAGAAAGCCACGGAAGUGUGGUCUGCGGGUUGAGACGGACUCCGUUCAUGUGGAUAAGCAGAGGAAAUUUGGCAGAAACGACCAAAUGCAAAAUACGUGUAGCAGCCUGAGACCGGCCGUCUACUGAAACAAAGGAUGCAGUUCAGUCGGAAACCACGCUUAGCUGAGUAGCUGUCUUUAGCCAUCCAGGCCCUGAGAACCAAUGAACAACCCAGCUUGGCCGCUUAGAACAUUUUUUCUAUACUUGAGUUAAAUAGAUAUCCAAGAACCAUUACUCGUUUUUAAUGUGGAGAAGUCGGUAUUCUAUUCUCGUGUUCUAUGUUUUUUAAAGUGGCAAUUUGAAUUAUUUCGUGCGAUAGAAAACCUUAAACACAAAGUAACGUUUCUAACAAAAGGGCUGUCGAUCAAGUGACAAACACGUCCUACUUUUAGAUACAAGCACGACUGAGGCAACGGCACGAAGACGCCUAAAGUGGGCUGCUGGGGAGACAAGAUCUGGCCGCGAAUGGAACUCGCGGCAGCUCAUUAACGGGACCGUCCAGCAGGAAGGUGGGUUGGCAGCCUUCUCCCAGGGCUCCCCACGAUCCCUACCCCUGGUGUGGCGUGGCCUUCCUCCUCACAUGUCGUCUGGACCAAGCAGUGUGUUGUUCUCAUCCAUAAAGAGUGAUGGGCCGGGCACGAUGGCCACACCUGUGAUCCCAGCACUGUGGGAGGCUGAGGCGGGAGGAUCUCCUGAGCCCAGGAGUUUGACACCAGCCUGGGUAGCAUAGGGAGACCCUGUCUCUACAGAAAAAAAGUUAGCCAGGUAUUCCAGAGGCUGAGGUGGGAGGAUCGCUUGAACCCAGGAGGUGGAGACUGCAGUGAGCCGUGAUCGCACCACUGCACUCCAACCUGGGCAACAGACUGAGACCCAGUUUCUAAAACAAAUAAUAAAAAGGCAGGGUGCAGUGGCUCAUACCUGUAAUCCCAGCACGUUGGGAGGCCAAGGUGGGCGGAUCACUUGAGGUCAGGAGUUCGAGACCAGCUGGCCCACAUGGUAAAACCCCAUCUCUACUAAAAUGCAAAAAUCAACCGGGCACAGUGGCACACGCCUGUAAUCCCAGCUCUUCAGGAGGCCGAGGCAGGAGAACUGGGAGGCAGAGAUUGCAGUGAGCUGAGAUCGUGCCACUGCACUCCAGGCUGGGUGACAGAGCUAGACACCAUCUUGAAAAAAAAUAAAAGUUAAAUAAAAAGAGUGAUGAGGCAUCCUGAGAUUCAUUUAUAAAAUGCCGUGAUUCAGGUCUCAGGGCACUGUCGCCCCUACUCACUUUGAUGAAGCCAGUGCUGGGUUGCUGCUGAGGUGGGGAGGUUCAUGGGCCAGGAACUGAAGGCAGCCAUGAGAGCCAGACCCCUCCACCACCCCCAAGACAGCAGGGAACUCACUCCAACAGCCACCCUGGGAUGCUGCCACAGCUGAGCCUGGAGGUGACCGUGACCCUGGCUGACGUCGGACUGCAGCUUUGUAAGGGAGACUGAGCCGGGACCCAGACCUACAAAAGCUGAGAUGAUAAACACUGUUUUAAGCUGCUGUGUGUCGCAGUGACUCGUGUGGUAGUGGAUUUCUAGCAGAGCCGUCGUUCGUGUCUGCCUUCUCUCAGCUCAACACUCUGUAGGGCCACCCAUGCCGUUGUGCAUGUCAACGGUGGAUUUUUUAUUGCGAGUAAUAUUUCAUUCCAUUGCAUGCUCACACCUCGGUUUGUUUAACUGUCUACCUGUUGAUGAGCUCUGGGACAUAUGCAGUUCUGGGCUAUUAUGAGUAAAGCUGCUUUUAACAUUUAAAUACAA